AUGGCUCAGAUUGAACGCUGGCGGCAGGCCUAACACAUGCAAGUCGAACGGUAACAGAAAGCAGCUUGCUGCUUUGCUGACGAGUGGCGGACGGGUGAGUAAUGUCUGGGAAACUGCCUGAUGGAGGGGGAUAACUACUGGAAACGGUAGCUAAUACCGCAUAACGUCGCAAGACCAAAGAGGGGGACCUUCGGGCCUCUUGCCAUCGGAUGUGCCCAGAUGGGAUUAGCUUGUUGGUGGGGUAACGGCUCACCAAGGCGACGAUCCCUAGCUGGUCUGAGAGGAUGACCAGCCACACUGGAACUGAGACACGGUCCAGACUCCUACGGGAGGCAGCAGUGGGGAAUAUUGCACAAUGGGCGCAAGCCUGAUGCAGCCAUGCCGCGUGUAUGAAGAAGGCCUUCGGGUUGUAAAGUACUUUCAGCGGGGAGGAAGGGAGUAAAGUUAAUACCUUUGCUCAUUGACGUUACCCGCAGAAGAAGCACCGGCUAACUCCGUGCCAGCAGCCGCGGUAAUACAGAGGGUGCAAGCGUUAAUCGGAAUUACUGGGCGUAAAGCGCACGCAGGCGGUUUGUUAAGUCAGACGUGAAAUCCCCGGGCUCAACCUGGGAACUGCAUCUGAUACUGGCAAGCUUGAGUCUCGUAGAGGGGGGUAGAAUUCCAGGUGUAGCGGUGAAAUGCGUAGAGAUCUGGAGGAAUACCGGUGGCGAAGGCGGCCCCC
rnacentral:rRNA from 1 species